AAUUUUACCCGAGCUUUGAAGGCAUUCCAUGUAACCUGCUGAAAUCGGGCGCUUUUUCAGCACGCAGAUGUGUCAACAUUGUCCGAUGUGAAACUGUGACGAAUCGUGCCACAUUUCAACUGGGAGUGCCAAGAAAAUUCCAACUGAUUGCUACCGAUCAUUGCUAGCUGUUGAAUUGAACCUGACCCAUUUGUGCAAUCCGUGGAACAUCCUAAUCCACAUUUUUGCUAUCUUCUCGCUGCGAUCGCCACAAAUUGACAUGUAUAUGGUGACACGAAUCGAAUUCCUCUAUAACGGCCAUGGCGGCUUACCUUGCAGUGUUUGUGUUCCUGCUUCUUGUUUGUUCGUCAUGCAGAGCUGAUGACAAGCUUACACCUGCAAGGCCGCUCUCCCCCGGCGACGAGCUCAUCUCCAGUGGCGGCGUCUUCGCUCUCGGCUUCUUCUCCCUGACGAACUCAACCUCGGACUUGUACGUCGGCGUAUGGUACAACCAGAUCCCCGUGCACACCUACGUGUGGGUCGCCAACCGCAACACCCCGAUCAAGAAGAGCUCCUCCGUGAAGCUGGUCUUGACCAACGAUUCCGACCUCGUGCUGUCCGACUCCAAUGGUGGCGGCGGCGGCGGCGCCGUCUGGACGACGGCGAAUUCGAACAACGUCGCCGCCGCCGGUGGUGGUGCUGGAGCGACGGCUGUGCUGCUCGACUCCGGCAACUUCGUCGUGCGGCUGCCGAACGGGUCUGAGGUAUGGCGGAGCUUCGAUCACCCGACGGACACCAUCGUGCCCAACGUGAGUUUCUCGCUGAGCUACAUGGCCAACAGCUUAGACCGCAUCGUCGCGUGGAGGGGGCCCAACGACCCGUCCGCCGGCGACUUCACCAUGGGCGGCGACUCCAGCUCGGACCUCCAGAUCGUCGUCUGGAACGGGACGAGGCCGUACUGGCGACGAGCGGCGUGGACCGGCGCGUCCAUCUUCGGCGUGAUCCAGACCAACACCAGCUUCAAGCUGUAUCAGACGAUCGACGGCGACAUGGCCGACGGCUACUCCUUCAAGCUGACCGUCGCCGACGGCUCGCCGCCGAUGCGCAUGACGCUGGACUACACCGGCGAGCUCACCUUCCAGAGCUGGGACGGCAACACGUCGUCGUGGACCGUCUUCUCCCGGUUCCCCACCGGCUGUGACAAGUACGCCUCGUGCGGGCCCUUCGGCUACUGCGACGGCAUCGGCGCCACGGCGACUCCGACGUGCAAGUGCCUCGACGGCUUCGUCCCCGUCGACAGCAGCCACGACGUCUCGAGAGGUUGCCGGAGGAAGGAGGAGGAGGUGGGAUGCGUCGGCAGGCGGCGGCGGCGAUGGCUUCUUGACCAUGCCGAGCAUGAGGACACCGGACAAGUUCUUGUACGUGAGGAACAGAAGCUUCGAUCAGUGCACCGCAGAGUGCAGCCGCAACUGCUCCUGCACGGCUUAUGCUUAUGCAAUCCUGAAUAAUGCCGAUGCGACGGAGGACCGGUCCAGGUGCUUGGUUUGGAUGGGGGAGCUCGUCGACACGGGCAAGUUCAGCGAUGGUGCCGGCGGCGAGAACCUCUACCUCCGGAUUCCUGGCUCACGAGCUAAUAACAAGACGAAAAGUACUGUUCUGAAGAUUGUACUGCCGGUUGCGGCUGGUCUUCUGCUGAUACUUGGAGGCAUAUGUCUUGUACGCAAAUCAAGAGGCAAUCAACCAAGCAAGAAAGUUCAGAGCAAAUAUCCAUUUCAACACAUGAAUGAUUCAAACGAAGUUGGGAGCGAAAAUGUAGAACUUUCUUCUGUUGACUUGGAUUCUGUCCUCACUGCAACAAACAAUUUCUCCGAUUACAACUUGCUUGGAAAAGGAGGUUUUGGAAAAGUUUACAAGGGAGUUUUGGAGGGUGGCAUAGAAGUUGCUGUCAAGAGGCUUAGCAAGGGUUCAGGGCAAGGUGUUGAGGAGUUCAGAAAUGAAGUGGUUCUGAUUGCUAAAUUACAACACAGAAACUUGGUUAGGCUUCUUGGUUGCUGCAUUCAUGAAGACGAAAAGUUACUCAUCUACGAAUACUUACCAAACAGAAGCUUGGAUGCCUUCCUUUUUGAUGCUAACAGAAAAAACACGCUUGACUGGCCGACAAGGUUCAAGAUAAUUAAAGGAGUAGCAAGAGGUCUUCUUUAUCUUCACCAGGAUUCAAGAUUAACAAUAAUCCAUAGAGAUCUAAAGACAAGCAACAUUUUGUUGGACACAGAAAUGAGUCCUAAAAUAUCAGAUUUCGGCAUGGCAAGGAUCUUUGGUGGAAAUGAGCAACAAGCUAAUACCACCAGGGUUGUCGGCACAUAUGGUUACAUGUCUCCUGAAUAUGCUUUGGAUGGCUAUUUUUCCGUCAAGUCUGACACCUAUAGUUUUGGUGUCAUACUGUUGGAAGUUGUGAGUGGCUUAAAGAUCAGUUCAGCCCAUCUCAAAGUGGACUGUUCAAACCUUAUAGCCUAUGCAUGGAGUUUAUGGAAAGAUGGAAAUGCAAGGGAUUUCGUAGACUCAUCCAUUGUGGAGAGCUGUCCACUUCAUGAAGUUCUACGAUGUAUACAUUUAGGACUCCUUUGCAUUCAAGAUCAACCAAGUGCUAGGCCACUGAUGUCAUCCAUUGUGUUCAUGCUGGAGAACGAAACUGCCGUGCUUCCUGCUCCAAAGGAGCCUAUAUAUUUCACAAGGAGGGAGUACGGGACAGACGAAGACACGAGAGAUAGCAUGAGAUCAAGAUCUCUGAACCACAUGAGUAAAACAGCAGAAGAUGGGCGUUAAAUGGUUAAUUCCGCUGUACAGAUCCCAAUUUUUUAAAACUGUUAUUCCAAUUGAACAAUACCAUUACAUUGUUUGAUUUAAAAAGGUUCUACUGGAUA